rnacentral:rRNA from 1 species
UCCAACCUGCCCUUUACUCGGGGAUAGCCUUUCGAAAGAAAGAUUAAUACCCGAUAGCAUAAUGAUUCCGCAUGGUUUCAUUAUUAAAGGAUUCCGGUAAAGGAUGGGGAUGCGUUCCAUUAGGUUGUUGGUGAGGUAACGGCUCACCAAACCGACGAUGGAUAGGGGUUCUGAGAGGAAGGUCCCCCACAUUGGAACUGAGACACGGUCCAAACUCCUACGGGAGGCAGCAUG